rnacentral:rRNA from 1 species
GACGAACGCUGGCGGCGUGCCUAAUACAUGCAAGUAGAACGCUGAAGGAGGAGCUUGCUUCUCCGGAUGAGUUGCGAACGGGUGAGUAACGCGUAGGUAACCUGCCUGGUAGCGGGGGAUAACUAUUGGAAACGAUAGCUAAUACCGCAUAAGAGUAGAUGUCGCAUGACAUUUGCUUAAAAGGUGCAACUGCACCACUACCAGAUGGACCUGCGUUGUAUUAGCUAGUUGGUGAGGUAACGGCUCACCAAGGCAACGAUACAUAGCCGACCUGAGAGGGUGAUCGGCCACACUGGGACUGAGACACGGCCCAGACUCCUACGGGAGGCAGCAGUAGGGAAUCUUCGGCAAUGGACGGAAGUCUGACCGAGCAACGCCGCGUGAGUGAAGAAGGUUUUCGGAUCGUAAAGCUCUGUUGUAAGAGAAGAAUGAGUGUGAGAGUGGAAAGUUCACACUGUGACGGUAUCUUACCAGAAAGGGACGGCUAACUACGUG